AGAGUUUGAUCCUGGCUCAGGACGAACGCUGGCGGCGUGCUUAACACAUGCAAGUCGAACGAUGAAGCCUUCGGGUGGAUUAGUGGCGAACGGGUGAGUAACACGUGGGAAAUCUGCCCUGCACUCUGGGACAAGCCUUGGAAACGAGGUCUAAUACCGGAUAUGACCUGUCCUCGCAUGGGGACGGGUGGAAAGCUCCGGCGGUGCAGGAUGAUCCCGCGGCCUAUCAGCUUGUUGGUGGGGUAAUGGCCUACCAAGGCGACGACGGGUAGCCGGCCUGAGAGGGCGACCGGCCACACUGGGACUGAGACACGGCCCAGACUCCUACGGGAGGCAGCAGUGGGGAAUAUUGCACAAUGGGCGAAAGCCUGAUGCAGCGACGCCGCGUGAGGGAUGAAGGCCUUCGGGUCGUAAACCUCUUUCAGCAGGGAAGAAGCGCAAGUGACGGUACCUGCAGAAGAAGCACCGGCUAACUACGUGCCAGCAGCCGCGGUAAUACGUAGGGUGCGAGCGUUGUCCGGAAUUAUUGGGCGUAAAGAGCUCGUAGGCGGCUUGUCACGUCGGAUGUGAAAGCCCGGGGCUUAACCCCGGGUCUGCAUUCGAUACGGGCAGGCUAGAGUGUGGUAGGGGAGAUCGGAAUUCCUGGUGUAGCGGUGAAAUGCGCAGAUAUCAGGAGGAACACCGGUGGCGAAGGCGGAUCUCUGGGCCAUUACUGACGCUGAGGAGCGAAAGCGUGGGGAGCGAACAGGAUUAGAUACCCUGGUAGUCCACGCCGUAAACGGUGGGAACUAGGUGUUGGCGACAUUCCACGUCGUCGGUGCCGCAGCUAACGCAUUAAGUUCCCCGCCUGGGGAGUACGGCCGCAAGGCUAAAACUCAAAGGAAUUGACGG
rnacentral:rRNA from 1 species